UUCCAACCUUAAAGGAUUCUAUGGUUCUGUGUUCACUUGUCCAGAAUGGAACAAGGAAGCUGCUGUGUGCUGUGAGAGGAAGAGCCAACUGCUGCAAAACAGAGUGAGGUGGUCGUCCUUUUACAGCAUGAACCGUGUUAUCAGGAAGAUGCGAAAUAAACGUGACAAAGCGAUACACUCCUUUAAAGCUGCCUUAAUUUUACUGGGAACACUGCAAAAGCAAGACAAUACCAGGCACUGUGUGAAGCUUUGCAUGUGGUUGACCUGCUGUGCUCCAGGGGCUGCGUAUGGUCAGAGUGGGAUUUGAGAGCUACAGGAGG